rnacentral:ncRNA from 1 species
GACGUCGCUUUUGAUCUUUCGAUUUCGGCUCUCCUAUCAUGUGAAAGCAGAAUUCACAAGCGUUGGAUUGUUCAACCCGAUAAUAGGGAACGUGAGCUGGGUUUAGACCGUCGUGAGACAGGUUAGUUUUACCGUACUGAUGAAUGUGUUGUUGCCAUGGUAAUCCUGCUCAGUACGAGAGGAACCGCAGGUUCAGACAUUUGGUGUAUGUGCUUGGCUGAGGAGCCAAUGGGGCGAAGCUACCAUCUGUGGGAUUAUGACUGAACGCCUCUAAGUCAGAAUCCCGCCCAGGCGGAACGAUACGGCAGCGCCGAAGGAGCCUCGGUUGGCCUCGGAUAGCCGGUCCCCCGCUCGUCCCCGCCGGCCCGGCCCGGGGCCCGGCCCUCGCGUCCGCGCGGGGUCGUCGCCCCACCACCGCGCGUCGGGACCGGGGUCCGGUGCGGAGAGCCUCUCGUCCCGGGAAACGGGGUGCGGCCGGAAAGGGCGCCGCCCCCACGCCCGUCGCGCAACGCACGUUCGUGUGGAACCUGGCGCUAAACCAUUCGUAGACGACCUGCUUCUGGGUCGGGGUUUCGUACGUAGCAGAGCAGCUCCCUCGCUGCGAUCUAUUGAAAGUCAGCCCUCGACACAAGGGUUUGU